AGCACUCCCUUGAAAAGGAUGGAAGAGGCCAUUGGGCCUUACAACACAUAUAUGGCCAAGGCACUGGCAGCUACUUUGUGGCAUCUAACUGUGUUUU
rnacentral:ncRNA from 1 species